UCAAGCGGGCAGGCAAUCGCGGGGUUUAGUGCCUCGAGGAAAGUCCGGGCUCCGCAGAGCAGGGUGCUGGGCGCAAGCCCAGUAAGCGCAAGCUUAAGGAAAGUGCAACAGAAAAUAUACCGCGCCCCAAAAGGGCGUAAGGGUGAAAUGGCGGGGCAAGGGCCCACCGGCAUCCGGGCGACCGGAUGGCCAUGUAAACCCCACCCGGAGCAAGGCCAAAUAGGAGGAGGUCAAGGGCUGCUCGUCCGUCUCCUCGGGUAGGCCGCCUAGAGAAAUGAUUGCCCACGACAGAACCCGGCUUACAACCCGCUUGGGACA
rnacentral:RNase_P_RNA from 1 species